rnacentral:rRNA from 3 species
GAGUUUGAUCCUGGCUCAGAUUGAACGCUGGCGGCAGGCCUAACACAUGCAAGUCGAGCGGAUGACGGGAGCUUGCUCCUUGAUUCAGCGGCGGACGGGUGAGUAAUGCCUAGGAAUCUGCCUGGUAGUGGGGGACAACGUUUCGAAAGGAACGCUAAUACCGCAUACGUCCUACGGGAGAAAGCAGGGGACCUUCGGGCCUUGCGCUAUCAGAUGAGCCUAGGUCGGAUUAGCUAGUUGGUGGGGUAAUGGCUCACCAAGGCGACGAUCCGUAACUGGUCUGAGAGGAUGAUCAGUCACACUGGAACUGAGACACGGUCCAGACUCCUACGGGAGGCAGCAGUGGGGAAUAUUGGACAAUGGGCGAAAGCCUGAUCCAGCCAUGCCGCGUGUGUGAAGAAGGUCUUCGGAUUGUAAAGCACUUUAAGUUGGGAGGAAGGGCAGUAAGUUAAUACCUUGCUGUUUUGACGUUACCGACAGAAUAAGCACCGGCUAACUCUGUGCCAGCAGCC